rnacentral:rRNA from 1 species
CCUACGGGUGGCAGCAGUCGAGAAUCAUUCACAAUGGGGGAAACCCUGAUGGGGCGACGCCGCGUGGGGGAAUGAAGGUCUGCGGAUUGUAAACCCCUGUCAUGUGGGAGCAAAUUAAAAAGAUAGUACCACAAGAGGAAGAGACGGCGAACGCUGGGCCAGCAGCCGCGGUAAUACAGAGGUCUCAAGCGUUGUUUGGAAUCCCUGGGCGUAAAGCGUGCGUAGGCUUUUGCGUAAGUCGUGUGUGAAAGGCGCGGGCUCAACCCGCGGACGGCACAUGAUACUGCGAGACUAGAGUAAUGGAGGGGUAACCGGAAUUCUCGGUGUAGCAGU